GAUGAACGCUGGCGGCGUGCCUAAUACAUGCAAGUCGAGCGAACAGACGAGGAGCUUGCUCCUCUGACGUUAGCGGCGGACGGGUGAGUAACACGUGGAUAACCUACCUAUAAGACUGGGAUAACUUCGGGAAACCGGAGCUAAUACCGGAUAAUAUAUUGAACCGCAUGGUUCAAUAGUGAAAGACGGUUUUGCUGUCACUUAUAGAUGGAUCCGCGCCGCAUUAGCUAGUUGGUAAGGUAACGGCUUACCAAGGCAACGAUGCGUAGCCGACCUGAGAGGGUUGUCGGCCACACUGGAACUGAGACACGGUCCAGACUCCUACGGGAGGCAGCAGUAGGGAAUCUUCCGCAAUGGGCGAAAGCCUGACGGAGCAACGCCGCGUGAGUGAUGAAGGUCUUCGGAUCGUAAAACUCUGUUAUUAGGGAAGAACAAAUGUGUAAGUAACUAUGCACGUCUUGACGGUACCUAAUCAGAAAGCCACGGCUAACUACGUGC
rnacentral:rRNA from 1 species